rnacentral:lncRNA from 1 species
GGCGUCUUCGGUACUGGCAAGUCAAGGGUAGCUUGAGCAAUGAAGCUGCAUGUUUAAAUCGACCGAAGUUCUCCUUUAAGAAGGUGUAGGAACCAUGCUGUGAUCACACUCACAAAAACUACUUCCUUGUUUAAUUUAAUUUAUGUUUGAAACAACCACAUAUCAUACUCAGUGUGAGGAAAUGGUGAGAUGUUUUCGUCUGAGUGCGAAAGAUAAAAAAAGAACGUAGUGCGUGCUUUUAUUUUGAAGAACAUGAACCGGGAAGAGGAAGUUGGUCUCCGUGUUGUGAGCGGCACGAGUUUUGUCACCAUAACGACAAUAUUGUAGCAUCAACAAGCUGUUAGAUCCAUUUUACAAUCACAGAAGAGAAACACACUCAUAGGCGACAUAUUUUUUUUUUUUGCCAGAAUGUCAGAUUUGGAGGCGCAGGUGGGCGCCAUUUUGGAGAUAAUGGUCAACGCGACUGUCACAGAAAUUAGCAAAGUUGUCGGCGGCUCCGAUUCAACAGAUCCAGAAGUGUCAUCCUGUGAAAACACACACGGGUCGUCGGCUGACACGGUGAUCCAGUUCAGCGUCUUCAUGACGUCUCUGGCUCGAGAAGCCGUGGAGAAGAUCUGCCAGCUUUUCCACGAAUGUUCCUCUGUGCUGCAGUUAGAAGUGACCCAGGGUGCUGCAGACACUGAGGACAUGAGGAGGAGACUGGAGGCGGCAGAGACGGAGCUGAAGCUGGCGCUGCAGGGCCACAGAGGGCCGAAGGAGGCGGAGGGGCAGACGGAGGGAGGCAGCAGGCCGGAGGAGGGAAGGAGAGCUCCGAGCGCCGGGGCAGAAGGAGAGACCGUCCAGAGCCAGCGCUCAGGGAGGAAGAGUCGCAGAGGUGAUGAGUUUAUCCUCUAAUUGUGUUGUUUGUCUUUAUCAAACAUCCAGCGGAGAAGUGGCUGUCAGAUAUAAUAUACUAACAGCUCUUUAAAUGUUUACAGUUGGGGCUAGUGGUGAGGCUGGAGUGAAGAGAUCACCUAUAAUUCAUCUGUGGAAAGGCCGAACUUAUGAGGUAAAAUCCUGUCUCGUCUUUUGCAAUCUGGCAUCCUUGUUGAGUUUCAUACUGUUCUCUCUUUCCUACUUCCUGUUUUCUUUCUCAUACCAGGUCGGAUUUCUAAAGAAAUCUCACCAACUACAAUACCCGAUGUCUAACAAUGAGAUUUGAAUUGUUUUCAAGUUUUUUUGGUAAACUACUUUGUAGUUUAUCCCAGAGGGUUAUUCAGACCACA